GGUUAAGCGACUAAGCGUACACGGUGGAUGCCCUGGCAGUCAGAGGCGAUGAAGGGCGUGCUAAUCUGCGAUAAGCGCCGGUAAGGUGAUAUGAACCGUUAUAACCGGCGAUACCCGAAUGGGGAAACCCAGUGUGACUCGUCACACUAUCAUUAACUGAAUCCAUAGGUUAAUGAGGCGAACCGGGGGAACUGAAACAUCUAAGUACCCCGAGGAAAAGAAAUCAACCGAGAUUCCCCCAGUAGCGGCGAGCGAACGGGGAGGAGCCCAGAGCCUGAAUCAGCAUGUGUGUUAGUGGAAGCGUCUGGAAAGGCGCGCGAUACAGGGUGACAGCCCCGUACACAAAAGCGCAUGUGCUGUGAGCUCGAUGAGUAGGGCGGGACACGUGGUAUCCUGUCUGAAUAUGGGGGGACCAUCCUCCAAGGCUAAAUACUCCUGACUGACCGAUAGUGAACCAGUACCGUGAGGGAAAGGCGAAAAGAACCCCGGCGAGGGGAGUGAAAAAGAACCUGAAACCGUGUACGUACAAGCAGUGGGAGCACAGGUUUACCUGUGUGACUGCGUACCUUUUGUAUAAUGGGUCAGCGACUUAUAUUCUGUAGCAAGGUUAACCGAAUAGGGGAGCCGCAGGGAAACCGAGUCUUAAUUGGGCGUUAAGUUGCAGGGUAUAGACCCGAAACCCGGUGAUCUAGCCAUGGGCAGGUUGAAGGUUGGGUAACACUAACUGGAGGACCGAACCGACUAAUGUUGAAAAAUUAGCGGAUGACCUGUGGCUGGGGGUGAAAGGCCAAUCAAACCGGGAGAUAGCUGGUUCUCCCCGAAAGCUAUUUAGGUAGCGCCUCGUGAAUUCAUCUCCGGGGGUAGAGCACUGUUUCGGCUAGGGGGCCAUCCCGGCUUACCAACCCGAUGCAAACUGCGAAUACCGGAGAAUGUUAUCACGGGAGACACACGGCGGGUGCUAACGUCCGUCGUGAAGAGGGAAACAACCCAGACCGCCAGCUAAGGUCCCAAAGUCAUGGUUAAGUGGGAAACGAUGUGGGAAGGCCCAGACAGCCAGGAUGUUGGCUUAGAAGCAGCCAUCAUUUAAAGAAAGCGUAAUAGCUCACUGGUCGAGUCGGCCUGCGCGGAAGAUGUAACGGGGCUAAACCAUGCACCGAAGCUGCGGCAGCGACACUAUGUGUUGUUGGGUAGGGGAGCGUUCUGUAAGCCUGCGAAGGUGGCCUGUGAGGGUUGCUGGAGGUAUCAGAAGUGCGAAUGCUGACAUAAGUAACGAUAAAGCGGGUGAAAAGCCCGCUCGCCGGAAGACCAAGGGUUCCUGUCCAACGUUAAUCGGGGCAGGGUGAGUCGACCCCUAAGGCGAGGCCGAAAGGCGUAGUCGAUGGGAAACGGGUUAAUAUUCCCGUACUUGGUGUUACUGCGAAGGGGGGACGGAGAAGGCUAUGUUGGCCGGGCGACGGUUGUCCCGGUUUAAGCGUGUAGGUGUGUGUUCCAGGUAAAUCCGGUUCACUUUAACACUGAGGCGUGAUGACGAGGCACUACGGUGCUGAAGCAACAAAUGCCCUGCUUCCAGGAAAAGCCUCUAAGCAUCAGGUAACAUCAAAUCGUACCCCAAACCGACACAGGUGGUCAGGUAGAGAAUACCAAGGCGCUUGAGAGAACUCGGGUGAAGGAACUAGGCAAAAUGGUGCCGUAACUUCGGGAGAAGGCACGCUGACACGUAGGUGAAGUGAUUUACUCAUGGAGCUGAAGUCAGUCGAAGAUACCAGCUGGCUGCAACUGUUUAUUAAAAACACAGCACUGUGCAAACACGAAAGUGGACGUAUACGGUGUGACGCCUGCCCGGUGCCGGAAGGUUAAUUGAUGGGGUCAGCGCAAGCGAAGCUCCUGAUCGAAGCCCCGGUAAACGGCGGCCGUAACUAUAACGGUCCUAAGGUAGCGAAAUUCCUUGUCGGGUAAGUUCCGACCUGCACGAAUGGCGUAAUGAUGGCCAGGCUGUCUCCACCCGAGACUCAGUGAAAUUGAACUCGCUGUGAAGAUGCAGUGUACCCGCGGCAAGACGGAAAGACCCCGUGAACCUUUACUAUAGCUUGACACUGAACAUUGAGCCUUGAUGUGUAGGAUAGGUGGGAGGCUUUGAAGUGUGGACGCCAGUCUGCAUGGAGCCGACCUUGAAAUACCACCCUUUAAUGUUUGAUGUUCUAACGUGGACCCGUAAUCCGGGUUGCGGACAGUGUCUGGUGGGUAGUUUGACUGGGGCGGUCUCCUCCUAAAGAGUAACGGAGGAGCACGAAGGUUGGCUAAUCCUGGUCGGACAUCAGGAGGUUAGUGCAAUGGCAUAAGCCAGCUUGACUGCGAGCGUGACGGCGCGAGCAGGUGCGAAAGCAGGUCAUAGUGAUCCGGUGGUUCUGAAUGGAAGGGCCAUCGCUCAACGGAUAAAAGGUACUCCGGGGAUAACAGGCUGAUACCGCCCAAGAGUUCAUAUCGACGGCGGUGUUUGGCACCUCGAUGUCGGCUCAUCACAUCCUGGGGCUGAAGUAGGUCCCAAGGGUAUGGCUGUUCGCCAUUUAAAGUGGUACGCGAGCUGGGUUUAGAACGUCGUGAGACAGUUCGGUCCCUAUCUGCCGUGGGCGCUGGAGAACUGAGGGGGGCUGCUCCUAGUACGAGAGGACCGGAGUGGACGCAUCACUGGUGUUCGGGUUGUCAUGCCAAUGGCACUGCCCGGUAGCUAAAUGCGGAAGAGAUAAGUGCUGAAAGCAUCUAAGCACGAAACUUGCCCCGAGAUGAGUUCUCCCUGAGACUUAGAGUCUCCUGAAGGAACGUUGAAGACGACGACGUUGAUAGGCCGGGUGUGUAAGCGCAGCGAUGCGUUGAGCUAACCGGUACUAAUGAACCGUGAGGCUUAACCUU
rnacentral:rRNA from 1 species